rnacentral:rRNA from 1 species
AUUGAACGCUGGCGGCGUGCUUAACACAUGCAAGUCGAGCGGCAGCGCGGGAGCAAUCCUGGCGGCGAGCGGCGAACGGGUGAGUAAUGCUUCGGAAUCUGCCCUUCAGUGGGGAAUAACCAGUCGAAAGACUGGCUAAUACCGCAUACGAACUGAGGUUGAAAGCAGGGGAUCGCAAGACCUUGCGCUGAUGGAUGAGCCGAAGUCGGAUUAGCUUGUUGGUGGGGUAAUGGCCUACCAAGGCGACGAUCCGUAGCUGGUCUGAGAGGACGACCAGCCACACUGGGACUGAGACACGGCCCAGACUCCUACGGGAGGCAGCAGUGGGGAAUAUUGGACAAUGGGGGCGAACCCUGAUCCAGCGACGCCGCGUGUGUGAAGAAGGCCUGCGGGUUGUAAAGCACUUUUAGUGGGGAGGAAGGUCUGCGACCUAACACGUCGUGGAAUUGACUUAACCCACAGAAAAGCACCGGCUAACUCUGUGC